AACGAUCGUUAAUACCGCAUAACAUAAUUGAACCGCAUGAUUUGAUUAUCAAAGAUUUAUCGCUGAAAGAUGAGCUCGCGUCUGAUUAGCUAGUUGGUAAGGUAACGGCUUACCAAGGCGACGAUCAGUAGCCGGACUGAGAGGUUGAUCGGCCACAUUGGGACUGAGACACGGCCCAGACUCCUACGGGAGGCAGCAGUGGGGAAUAUUGCACAAUGGAGGAAACUCUGAUGCAGCGAUGCCGCGUGAGGGAAGAAGGUUUUAGGAUUGUAAACCUCUGUCUUCAGGGACGAAAAAUGACGGUACCUGAGGAGGAAGCUCCGGCUAACUACGUGCCAGCAGCCGCGGUAAUACGUAGGGAGCGAGCGUUGUCCGGAAUUACUGGGUGUAAAGGGAGCGUAGGCGGGAUCGCAAGUCAGAUGUGAAAACUAUGGGCUUAACCCAUAAACUGCAUUUGAAACUGUGGUUCUUGAGUGAAGUAGAGGUAAGCGGAAUUCCUAGUGUAGCGGUGAAAUGCGUAGAUAUUAGGAGGA
rnacentral:rRNA from 1 species